GCAGAUCUUACACUAGAUGAGCCAGAUUUGGAGGGUGACCUAGCUGUUGAUUAGGUUGUAUUUAUUGUUUUUUUAAAGAUAUUAAAGUAAGUGGUUUUUUUAAACUGUAAAGACUUAUUGGUGAUAUUUGUUAAACUAUGAGUAUUUUUUUUAUAUUUGACUGCGGUACUCAUGCCGUACCCGUCUCUACAACUUUUAAAUUUGAUGUUCGUUCCCAUCCCUGUUUCCUGUCCCCGUACCUGUCUCAGUGCAACUUAGGUGGAAUUCGAUUACCGUCGUCGACAGUUACACUUGAAUCUGCUUUGAAUCUACAGUGAAGUUUCUAGUUGCAUCUAUUGCUUGCACCAUCGAAGCUCCUUCUGCCUAUCAGACAAGAUCCUGACUGACUGAAAAUUUUCUACUAGUGUAAGAAUAAGUUUCGAUCAUCUUAAACUCAUGACCUCACCCUCUGCCUUGACUAAAGCUUUUCAAAUAAGUUUUUUAGGGAGAUACAACUCCUAGCCACAAGAGGACGAUACCAUAUUUGGAGAAGAAUAAUUUUUCAUCAUCUCCGAAUCUAGAUCUGCAGAAAAAAAAAGAUAAAUCCGAACUUAGCCGGAAGACAGAUCCAAAUAACAAAUAACCUUUACUAUUGAGCAGUAAAAGGAAUCUAUUAAUUGGAACAUUAUUAUCCGUUCAAAGUCGGAACCCAAUAUAAACAAAAAAAUUCCUAUUAUUGAUCAAAACUAUGAGAGGUAAAAGAACAGAGAAAAAAGAGAGAAGAGAGAAGAGAGAAGAGAGCUACUCACAGGCUCCAUUCGAGUUGGAGUUUAUAUGUGCCACCAAAACCGGUCUUCGGUCUUGUGGGAAAU
rnacentral:lncRNA from 1 species